CACAGCACUCCUCUCAUGUUGGCUUUGUUUAACCACUGGCAUCGUCCUACUGCCAAGAUGUGGUGGGGUGCAUACCAGUUUUGUUAUUUCAUUUAGAGCUUUGACCCUGUUUCGGUGUGCCGAAUGAUGAAAACUAUUAACAAGCAGACAGGGAAGGAACCUUUUGCAACUGCAGGACUGCCUACAGAACACUUUGGAUAUAACACUGCUGGUCUCCGAUACAUGUGUAUUCUGUAAUUGUACAAAAUGAAAAGGCUGAUGGAAGGGGUAGAUAAAUCUACUCCAAAGAUGAUCUGAUGCAUGGAUACACAAUGCAUUGAAACUUUUCUAAGUGAAUAUAAACAAGAAGGCUGCCUCUGGCAAUCACCAUCGCUGUCAGAGGAAUGUUGCCCUUUCCAUUACAAUUCACCUGGUUGAUUCUGUGAUGUUAUGACAUGGAGGAAUUUCAUUAUUCCUUCCACCACAAGCAAUCAAUUUGUGCCUUCAAGCAUAAAAUUCAAGGAUGCUUGAAGCUUUGCUUUGCUUGCAUAAUACGUAAAUGUUACCAGUCAAAGUUUUCCAGUGUUUCUCAAAUUCCUAUCACUCUCAUUACGGCCUUCUGUGGCAUGUGACUUUCACAGGCUGGCAUUUUAUGGCAUCAGUAAGAGCUUUAUCUUCUACAGGGUAUCUUUGUGGCUUGGUUCAUUCCUAAAACACCAGGAAUUUAUGAAAUAAGAAGGUUCAUUAGCAAGCAGCUCUGAAGGUCAACUUUUCUCAGUAGGAGUAAACUGGCAUAGCAAAGCUCUUUUACCCCUCCUGGGGUAAAUUUAAUCCAGAGUGUUUUAAAACCCAAGUCUUCAGUGAAAGCCAAGAGAUAAAUUUGGAUGGCGGCAUUUUGGAGUGGAGGGAGGUUCUUUCUCCUCUCAGAGCUAAACAUAGUUCUGGCAAAUGGCCUCAGACUGAAAUUCUUGAGGGAGUCAUAAUAAGCAAGCCAGGGCAAAGAGGAAUGUUUUUUCUCCCUGACUAAUUCUUCCACAUAAAAAGGUGAAAGGUCAAAGAUGAACUUUAAUACCAAUGAAAUUCUGAACUUCAGAGCAGUAAUAUGUUAGAACAUUAAAAAGAACUCAAAAUAAAAAAUGUUUUAUUAUUGGCAACAGUGGGUUGGUUUUAUAAGCAUAUAUAUCUCUGUCCUGGUUCCUUUUAACCUUUGGGAGAAGGGGGAACUAUUAGAUAUUAAACACUGACAUUAAGCAAUCCACAGUAGAGGUUUUGGAAGUUCAGCCCAUACUUUUUCCCUUAUGUGCCCUUCUGCAUCUUUCCAGCUGACUGAAGGAGUAAAAUGGGGCUGUCUUCAAGUUAUCACAUGUUCUCUUUCCCUAGCUUUUUUGACCGAGACGGUCAUUCUUGAGGUUAAUUUCCGUCUUCCUUCUGUCUAGGAAUAUUUCAUGCAGAUUAGCAAACUUCACAUGUUCAUAUUAUAGAGACAAUUCUGUUGAUUCAGACUGCCCCUUAGAGAAGCAACUUGACAAAUUCAUGUGUAUAUGUGCCUGUGCAUUCAGACGUUCAAGUAAAAAAGAUUUGCUCACGCUGAAGUUCAUUUAAAUUUAAUCACCAGAGUUCAAAUACAUUUAAUGAAAGCUUUGUUAUCUGUUUGGGUUUUGUAGUAUCACCCUUCUUCGGCUGGUAAUGUACAAACAGGAUGGCUGAACUGUCCUUUUCAUGUUAAGAUUGUCGGUGCUGAUAAUGACAUACAACUUUUAAUCAUUGUGGGCUGUGCAAAUAGGAAUCUAACCUGUGAAAUACAAAGUAUAACUUGUAAGCUCAGCAGUGCUGGAGUGGCCAAAUGCAUAUCAACCAGCAAGAAAUCUGCAGGAAAGUAAGGGGAAUGACCAGAGCUCCAGAAAAUGACCUAUAAAGAAAGGUUGCAUAACCUGUGCUCGUUUAGUAUACAGACAUGAAGACUGAGUGUAGGAGUAUAGUCACAGGAGACAGAAGGGACUUAAAAAUAUGACCUGCUACAGAAAGAAAAAGAACAGUCUGUUUUCCAUGUCUAUAAUAAACAGAGCAAGAAAUAACGGGCUUUAACUACAGGAAGAAAAAUUAAAUAGGAAAAGCUGUGAAGCAAUAUGACUAUAAAGCAUUCAGAUAUAUUUUUGUAAGGAUAUUGUGCCUUCUCUAUCACUGAGUCUUUACGAACAGGUUAAGCAGCAAGAGUGGAAUUCACCUCACCUACGGCUGAAUCCCACGGGAGAGAAACAGGCAUUUCCAGCCUGUGAUUCAUUUGACCCACUUCCAUUAUACAUUGGUCGGAGUUUAACUGCACUGUGGAAAUGCCUGUUUCUCUUUGGGGGCUGCGAAAGACUUUAGAAAACCGAUUCAAGUCUAAAGGUCUGUUUUGCAGAUGUCUGCAGCUCUGUCAGGACUGUACCACCUCUUUGUCUCCAUAAUAGCACUGACAUAGUUGAUUUUGUACUGGUGAAAAUGGCGAGGCUAGAUGACCUCUUGAGGUUGUUUCUAGACUAUGAAGGAAAUGAAGAACUGUCAUUGCAGAAGGUCUGCCUAACUAAAGGCCUAACUGAAAACAAAAGUUGCCUGUUCAGUAGCAUGACAGUAACAAAAAUGUAUUGUUUGAUGGCUGCUUGGCUGAAUAACUUGGAAUGCGAUAAUGAACAAUUUAAUGGUUAAUAAGCAAACAAGUACAUCAUCACCACACAAUGAGCAAACCGGCGUCUUAGUCAAAGUCAUCGAGAGUAGAAGAAGCAUAGAGAUGGAUUAUCCUCUUCCUCGAGCAUUUGGGAGACUUCUGUCUGUGUUUCACACUUAGCAGAUUACCGAUGGCACAAAUCAUACCUUCGUUGUCAUUUGGGAUAAACAGAGAAUCUGGACUAAUGGAUUGAAAUCCAAAGCUGCUGCUUUCCAGCUGUGACUACAUGACCACACCACAAGUGAGAGCUAAGAAACGUGGAAUGAGAAUGACCUGAUGUAUUGUAAAUCCUGAACUGCUAAUAGAUAAAGAAGAGUUGGGGCUGCUGGGACAACAGUCAGUACUCCUGAAGAAGGAAGAUUGGCAUUCCGCUCUCCUGAUGGCCCAAAUACUCAUGUCAAGUGGCAAUCCCAAAGUCACUCAUUUGUAACCAGAUCAUAGUAAUGGCA